rnacentral:rRNA from 1 species
UAAGGAAUAUUGGUCAAUGGGCGCAAGCCUGAACCAGCCAUGCCGCGUGCAGGAAGACGGCCCUAUGGGUUGUAAACUGCUUUUGUCAGGGAAUAAACCCCCGCUCGUGAGCGGGGCUGAAGGUACCUGAAGAAUAAGCAUCGGCUAACUCCGUGCCAGCAGCCGCGGUAAUACGGAGGAUGCAAGCGUUAUCCGGAUUCAUUGGGUUUAAAGGGUGCGCAGGCGGAUUGGUAAGUCAGGGGUGAAAUCCCACAGCUCAACUGUGGAACUGCCUUUGAUACUGUCAGGCUAGAGUAUAGUUGAAGUGGGCGGAAUGUGUCAUGUAGCGGUGAAAUGCUUAGAUAUGACAAAGAACACCGAUCGCGAAGGCAGCUCGCUAAGCUAUAACUGACGCUCAUGCACGAAAGCAUGGGGAUCAAACAG